rnacentral:lncRNA from 1 species
GGUGGUGUUACGAAAAGUAACACAGGUGGGAAACAAGAUUCACACCUCCUAACCCUCAAAGCUCUGGAAAGUUUGGGUAAAAAAAGCAAAAAAUCCAAACCUUCAUCUUCAAUAACAAAUCCUUCCAUGUGUACGAUUCUUUUCCUCUUCCAACGGAGCUCGUUUCAAAUCCGCCAUCAAUAAAUCCAACAGCUUCGCCGCCGUCAACAAAUACAACAGCUUCGUCGCCGUCGUGAUGCUCUUAA